rnacentral:rRNA from 1 species
UGGGGAAUAUUGCACAAUGGGCGCAAGCCUGAUGCAACCAUGCCGCGUGUAUGAAGAAGGCCUUCGGGUUGUAAAGUACUUUCAGCGGGGAGGAAGGCGAUAAGGUUAAUAACCUUGUCGAUUGACGUUACCCGCAGAAGAAGCACCGGCUAACUCCGUGCCAGCAGCCGCGGUAAUACGGAGGGUGCAAGCGUUAAUCGGAAUUACUGGGCGUAAAGCGCACGCAGGCGGUCUGUCAAGUCGGAUGUGAAAUCCCCGGGCUCAACCUGGGAACUGCAUUCGAAACUGGCAGGCUAGAGUCUUGUAGAGGGGGGUAGAAUUCCAGGUGUAGCGGUGAAAUGCGUAGAGAUCUGGAGGAAUACCGGUGGCGAAGGCGGCCCCCUGGACAAAGACUGACGCUCAGGUGCGAAAGCGUGGGGAGCAAACA